rnacentral:rRNA from 1 species
AGUGAACGCUGGCGGUGUGCCUAAUACAUGCAAGUCGAACGAAAAGACGAUAAGCUUGUGCUCUUACGGGUGGCGAGUGGCGGGCGGGUAAGACAUAGAUAGGAUACUAAUAUUUCGUGGGUGACAACGGGAAGAAAGAGACGCUAAUACCGCAUAUGUCCAACGGGUGAAAUCAGUAGUGAAUCGGGGCUUGGGUGUCAGUUAUAGACGAUUCCGCGCCGGAUUAGCUAGUUGGUAAGGUAACGGCUUACCAAGGCAACGAUGCGUAGCCGAGCUGAGAGGGUGAUCGGCCACACUGGAACUGAGACACGGUCCAGACUCCUACGGGAGGCAGCAGUGGGGAAUAUUCGGCAAUGGGCGAAAGCCUGAUGGAGCAACGCCGCGUGAGUGAUGAAGGCCUUCGGAUUGUAAAGCCCUGUUAUUAGGGAAGAACAAAUGUGUAAGUAUCUAUGCACGUCUUGACGGUACCUAAUGAGAAAGCCACGGCUAACUACGUG